GAUGAACGCUGGCGGCGUGCCUAAUUCAUGCAAGUCGACCGAAGUCUUCGGACUUAGUGGCGGACGGGUGAGUAACACGUGGGAACGUGCCUUUAGGUUCGGAAUAACGCAGGGAAACCUGUGCUAAUACCGAAUGUGCCCUUCGGGGGAAAGAUUUGUUGCUUUUAGAGCGGCCCGGGUCGGAUUAGCUUGUUGGUGGGGUAAAGGCUCACCAAGGCGACGAUCAGUAGCGGGGCUGGAAGGAUGAUCAGCCACAUGGGGACUGGGACACGGCCCAACUCCUACGGGAGGCAGCAGUGGGGAAUCUUGCGCAAUGGGCGAAAGCCUGACGCAGCCAUGCCGCGUGAAUGAUGAAGGUCUUAGGAUUGUAAAAUUCUUUCACCGGGGACGAUAAUGACGGUACCCGGAGAAGAAGCCCCGGCUAACUUCGUGCCAGCCGCCGCCGUAA
rnacentral:rRNA from 1 species